UACAGAGGGGGCAAGCGUUGUUCGGAAUUACUGGGCGUAAAGGGCGCGUAGGCGGCCUGUUAAGUCGAACGUGAAAUCCCCGGGCUCAACCCGGGAACUGCGUCCGAUACUGGCAGGCUUGAAUCCGGGAGAGGGAUGCGGAAUUCCAGGUGUAGCGGUGAAAUGCGUAGAUAUCGGGAGGAACACCAGAGGCGAAGGCGGCGAACUGGACAGUAACUGACACUCAACUGCGAAAGCGUGGGGAGCAAACAGG
rnacentral:rRNA from 1 species